AGGAAGCCCCGGCUAACUACGUGCCAGCAGCCGCGGUAAUACGUAGGGGGCAAGCGUUGUCCGGAAUCAUUGGGCGUAAAGAGCGUGUAGGCGGCCAUCCAAGUCCGAUGUGAAAGCUCGGGGCUCAACCCCGAGUCUGCAUUGGAAACUGGGUGGCUAGAGUCCGGAAGAGGAGACUGGAAUUCCUGGUGUAGCGGUGAAAUGCGCAGAUAUCAGGAAGAACACCGGUGGCGAAGGCGGGUCUCUGGGACGGUACUGACGCUGAGACGCGAAAGCGUGGGGAGCAAACAGGAUUAGAUACCCUGGUAGUCCACGCCGUAAACGAUGGGCACUAGGUGUGGGAGGUGUCGACUCCUUCCGUGCCGUAGCUAACGCA
rnacentral:rRNA from 1 species